rnacentral:rRNA from 1 species
UACAGAGGGUGCGAGCGUUAAUCGGAAUUACUGGGCGUAAAGCGCGCGUAGGCGGCUUUGCAAGUCGGGUGUGAAAUCCCCGGGCUCAACCUGGGAAUUGCAUUUGUGACUGCACGGCUAGAGUGUGUCAGAGGGGGGUAGAAUUCCACGUGUAGCAGUGAAAUGCGUAGAGAUGUGGAGGAAUACCGAUGGCGAAGGCAGCCCCCUGGGAUAACACUGACGCUCAUGCACGAAAGCGUGGGAGCAAACAGG